AGAUUAUGCUUUCCAGAUCCAUUUAUCACAAUUUUGUCUAUAUUAGCUGGACUUCUAUCUGUUAAAAAAAUACUCCGUAAAAGAUAGUAGUAUACCUUACAUUAGAUUUUAUGAUGAAGACACAAAUAAACAAAUGUACAAAAUAAUUCUGUACUUCACCUGUUGGGAGAGUGUGAUGAAGCCAUGCGAAAACACAGAGGAGUCUUCCAACAGACUUUGUACGGUUGGAUCAAGAUAUUUUGACACCUCUUGCAGGGAAGAAGCAGCUAUAUACCUAUGAAACCAUGGAUUUCUGGGAACAAAUUAAAACACCAGGAAUGUCUUUGAAAUGCUCUGGUCUCUACCUGGCUCAAUAUAGUUCUACCUCACUGUUAAGAAAAAACAAUUAAUUUAGAAUCUGGAAUUUUUAUAACGCAAAAAUAAAAUUUUGGAAUCAAAAUAAUCCAUUAAAAAAGAAAUCAAAAUAGGCUUCACGCACAGAAUCUGUGCGUAAAAAGACCAAAGUGUACAUUUACACUUAAGUUCUUUUACGCACAGAUUCUGUGCGUAAAAGUACUGAAAUAACACGUCCCCUUCCUUCUU